rnacentral:rRNA from 1 species
UACGUAGGGGGCGAGCGUUACCCGGAUUUACUGGGCGUAAAGCGCGUGUAGGCGGCUGGUCAAGCGUGGUGUGAAAUCUCCGGGCUCAACCCGGAAACUGCAUUGCGAACUGACCUAGCUGGAGUGCAGGAGAGGGCAGCGGAAUUCCCGGUGUAGCGGUGAAACUGCGUAGAUAUCGGGAAGAACACCAGUGGCGAAGGCGGCUGCCUGGCCUGUAACUGACGCUGAGACGCGAAAGCGUGGGGAGCAAACAGG